UCCUACGGGGGGCAGCAGUCGGGAAUAUUGCGCAAUGGAGGAAACUCUGACGCAGUGACGCCGCGUAUAGGAAGAAGGUUUUCGGAUUGUAAACUAUUGUCGUUAGGGAAGAUAAAAGACAGUACCUAAGGAGGAAGCUCCGGCUAACUACGUGCCAGCAGCCGCGGUAAUACGUAGGGUGCGAGCGUUAAUCGGAAUUACUGGGCGUAAAGGGUGCGCAGGCGGUUGAG
rnacentral:rRNA from 1 species